AGCUUCGCGCAGUGGCAAUAUCGUAGCCAGUGACAUUUAUCCAAGGCACUAUUAUUGCUGAUCGAAAAAAGAAAGAGAAGUCCCACCAUAUUGUAAUCUUCUUGGCCUCUGCCUUCUAGCGUGAGUAUAGAUGUGUACCACCAUGCUUGGC
rnacentral:snRNA from 1 species